rnacentral:rRNA from 1 species
UGCACGACAGUGCGAUAAGGGGACCCCGAGUGCGUAGGCAUAGAGCCUACGCUUUUGUACACCGUAGGGAGGUGUACGAAUAAAGAGCUGGGCAAGACCGGUGCCAGCCGCCGCGGUAAUACCGGCAGCUCGAGUGAUGGCCGAUCUUAUUGGGCCUAAAGCGUCCGUAGCUGGCUUUUCAAGUCCGUCGGGAAAUCUCCCCGCUCAACGGGGAGGCGUCCGGCGGAAACUGAAGAGCUUGGGACCGGAAGGCGUGACGGGUACGUCCGGGGUAGGAGUGAAAUCCUGUAAUCCUGGACGGACCGCCGAUGGGGAAACCACGUCACGAGGACGGAUCCGACAGUGAGGGACGAAAGCUAGGGUCUCGAACCGGAUUAGAUACCCGGGUAGUCCUAGCCGUAAACGAUGCCUGUUAGGUGUGACUCCCACUACGAGUGGGUGUUGUGCCGUAGGGAAGCCGCUAAACAGGCCGCCUGGGAAGUACGUCCGCAAGGAUGAAACUUAAAGGAAUUGGCGGGGGAGCACUACAACCGGAGGAGCCUGCGGUUUAAUUGGACUCAACGCCGGACAUCUCACCAGCAUCGACUGUAGUAAUGACGAUCAGGUUGAUGACCUUAUCCGAGCUUCAGAGAGGAGGUGCAUGGCCGCCGUCAGCUCGUACCGUGAGGCGUCCUGUUAAGUCAGGCAACGAGCGAGACCCGCAUCCUUACUUGCCAGCAGCAUCGCGAGAUGGCUGGGGACAGUAGGGAGACCGCCGCUGCUAAAGCGGAGGAAGGAACGGGCAACGGUAGGUCAGUAUGCCCCGAAUGUGCUGGGCAACACGCGGGCUACAAUGGCCGAGACAGAGGGUUCCAACCCCGAGAGGGGACGGUAAUCUCAGAAACUCGGUCGUAGUUCGGAUUGUGGACUGAAACUCGUCCACAUGAAGCUGGAUUCGGUAGUAAUCG